GAUCCCUAGACGCAGAGGGAGAUUGCUGUCAGACACAUGGAGAUCACUUAGGAAUGCCAAGCCUACAGGGAGCAGAGAUGCGACCAGCCUUGCGACCAUGCACUGAGAGUCCAUCGUGGCAGAUGCAGCCAGCUUAACACGCCUACCAUCAUGUAUCAGAGUGAAAACACGUUAUUUUAUAAAGUAUUUUUCCCAACUCCUUCCAAGAAAUAUGCUUCUGGAAGUUCAAAUAGAUAAUUGUGGCAGAAUGCAACCUAAUGGAUUGAGUUCUAAAGACCUACCCAGAAAAAGAAUUUAACUCCAGGAACUCGGAGGAUGAACAUAUCAUUUUUAUAAAUGAAUCCCAGAAGGAUGAGAGCAGAUGCCAACCAAGACUACAAUGCUCCAUUGAACAUGUUUUAAAAUUGUAUUAAUUAAAUUGAGGAAGCCAAUGAACUGAUUAAGGGAAAUUGCGCUUUAGGCAUUUGUAGGUCUUUUAAGUACGAUGUAACUCUGCCUAUGUGAGUAUAGAACAUGCAGAUGUUCUAUAAAAGGAAAACAUUGAAUAGCAUGUAGAGUGCUUAGAACUAUGACCUUUUAAAGAAAGAAAUGGUUUCCAACCAUGGAUAUUUAACUUCCUGGUCUCAUAAACACUUGCAUUUGAUUUAUAAGCACACAUGGAGGAUUCUGAGUGUGUUCGUAUGGAAAAGAUAAAUGGCAGGGUUAGAGAGCUGCGGAGUAUUGAGCAAAGAAACCUUAAAACCUUUUCCCUAAUAUUAUUCUCCAUUCAACCCCAUUCCUCAAAAUGAGCAAAUGUUCAAGGAAGCCCUGUCAACCAGUAAACAGAAGCAAACCCAAGAAUGGUGUAAACCUGGCUAGAAAAGUGUAGCUCUAAGCCGGGUCUGACAUUCUCAGUAUUUAACCAGGCCCCAAAGGUGUAGCACUUGGAGUCAGUCUAUUUAAAAAUUGAGAUUUUCCCUUAGACAAAUCCAAUCAGGCCCAAAGAGAGACAGUCUAGAAAAGCCACCUGACCCCAAGAAAAUGGUAGCAGAGCACAAAAGCGGUCCUCUUCUGGGGAAACAAUCGAGAAACCCUGGUUCCUUGACGUGAACAAACCAACUAGGUAGAGAACAAGCGGGGACUGUUUUAGGGACCCACAGACCUUGAAAAAUGAGAUCCACAAGGAUUUAUUCACUGCAAAUCUUUUUAGAAGAAAACCAGAGUUCUAAAGUAUAUUUUAACUUCUGAGGGUACGUUUUGAGUCUGAAGUGGUGAUUUUUUUAAAUAACAAUGUGUAAGUUUAAUUACACAGAAUCUCUAAUAUUCUAGGAACAUGAAGAAAACCUAAUGUGCACCUCAUAACAACCCCGUAGAACAGAGUAGAACGGCCCCCUUAGGCUUCUG